rnacentral:tRNA from 2 species
GCCAGCGUAGCUCAGUUGGUAGAGCAGCGGAAUCAUAAACCGCGGGUCACAGGUUCGAUCCCUGUCGCUGGUA